AUAGGUUAAGGUGUAAAAGAUCGUUAGUUUGUGGUGCUAGAGGUUUCCUAAGGUGAGUGAGAGAAUG
rnacentral:tRNA from 1 species